rnacentral:rRNA from 1 species
UACAGAGGGUGCAAGCGUUAAUCUGAAUUACUGGGCGUAAAGCGUGCGUAGACGGUAGCGUAAGUCGGGUGUGAAAGCCCCGGGCUCAACCUGGGAAUUGCAUUGGAUACUGGGAGACUUGAAUACGGGAGAGGGUAGUGGAAUUCCUAGUGUAGGAGUGAAAUCCGUAGAUAUUAGGAGGAACACCGGUGGCGAAGGCGGCUACCUGGACCGAUAUUGACGCUGAGACGCGAAAGCGUGGGGAGCAAACAGG